UACGAAGGGGGCUAGCGUUGCUCGGAAUCACUGGGCGUAAAGCGCACGUAGGCGGAUUGCUAAGUCAGGGGUGAAAUCCUGGAGCUCAACUCCAGAACUGCCUUUGAUACUGGCGACCUUGAGUCCGGGAGAGGUGAGUGGAACUGCGAGUGUAGAGGUGAAAUUCGAAGAUAUUCGGAAGAACACCAGUGGCGAAGGCGACUUACUGGACACAUAUUGACGCUGAGGUGCGAAAGCGUGGGGAGCAAACAGG
rnacentral:rRNA from 1 species